rnacentral:rRNA from 1 species
GACGAACGCUGGCGGCGUGCUUAACACAUGCAAGUCGUACGGUAAGGCCCUUUCGGGGGUACACGAGUGGCGAACGGGUGAGUAACACGUGAGUAACCUGCCCACAACUUUGGGAUAACGCUAGGAAACUGGUGCUAAUACUGGAUAUGUGCUCCUGCUGCAUGGUGGGGGUUGGAAAGCUCCGGCGGUUGUGGAUGGACUCGCGGCCUAUCAGCUUGUUGGUGGGGUAGUGGCCUACCAAGGCGGCGACGGGUAGCCGGCCUGAGAGGGUGACCGGCCACAUUGGGACUGAGAUACGGCCCAGACUCCGACGGGAGGCAGCAGUGGGGAAGAUUGCACAAUGGGCGCAAGCCUGAUGCAGCAACGCCGCGUGCGGGAUGACGGCCUUCGGGUUGUAAACCGCUUUCAGCAGGGACGAAGCUUUUUGUGACGGUACCUGCAGAAGAAGCACCGGCUAACUACGUG